AGAGUUUGAUCCUGGCUCAGGACGAACGCUGGCGGCGUGCCUAAUACAUGCAAGUCGAACGAGGUCCAACCAGUGGCAACACUGGGGACGACCUAGUGGCGAACGGGUGAGUAACACGUGAGAAACCUGCCCCGAAGACCGGGAUAACCCUCCGAAAGGAGAGCUAAUACCGGAUACCCCCACCGAACCGCAUGGCUCGGUGAGGAAAUGGAUUCCGCUUCGGGAGGGUCUCGCGGCCUAUCAGCUUGUUGGCGGGGUAACGGCCCACCAAGGCAUUGACGGGUAGCUGGUCUGAGAGGACGAUCAGCCACACUGGGACUGAGACACGGCCCAGACUCCUACGGAAGGCAGCAGUAGGGAAUCUUGCGCAAUGGGCGAAAGCCUGACGCAGCAACGCCGCGUGGGGGAUGAAGGCUCUCGGGUUGUAAACCCCUUUCAGUGGGGACGAAUCAAGACGGUACCCACAGAAGAAGCCCCGGCUAACUACGUGCCAGCAGCCGCGGUA
rnacentral:rRNA from 1 species